UACGAAGGGUGCUAGCGUUGUUCGGAAUUACUGGGCGUAAAGCGCGCGUAGGCGGCUUUUCAAGUCAGGGGUGAAAUCCUGGGGCUUAACCCCAGAAUUGCCUUUGAAACUGUAAAGCUUGAGUGUCGGAGGGGAUAGCGGAAUUGCGAAUGUAGAGGUGAAAUUCGUAGAUAUUAGCAGGAACACCGGUGGCGAAGGCGGCUAUCUGGACGACAACUGACGCUGAGGCGCGAAAGCGCGGGGAGCAAACAGG
rnacentral:rRNA from 1 species